UCGUACCUUUUGCAUCAUGGUUUGACUAGUUUAAUCAAGCAAAACGAACUUUAAGUUUGACCCCCCGAAACUAAGCGAGCUACUUCAGAACAGUCUUAUGGACUAACCCGUCUCUGUUGCAAAAGAGUGGGAAGAUUUUCAAGUAGAGGUGAUACACCUACCGAGCUUAGAGAUAGCUGGUUAUUCAAAAAAAGGAUACAGUCCAACUUUAAACCUCAACCUGACCCAAAAUAUACCCCAAGGUUUAAAAUUUAUUCAAAUAAGGUACAGCCUAUUUGAAACAGGAUACAACCUAUAAUGCAGGGUAAUGCUUUAUCAUGUAGCCAAGUAGGCCUAAGAGCAGCCACCUUAUGAAAAGCGUUACAGCUUCACUACGUAUAUUAUUAAUUUCAACUAAAACCCAAAACCCUCCCUCCGUAUUGAAUGACUCCAUGUUUAUAUGGAAGACCCUAUGUUAAAACUAGUAACAAGAACAUAUUCUCCCCAAAACACGUGUAAGCCGGAAUGGACCACCCACCGGCAUUUAUCGCUAAUGAAUAAAUAGUAACAACAACACAAGAAAAUCCUACUUCAUCCAAGCGUCAACCUUACACCAGAGCUUUUCUGGAAGAUUAAAAAAAGGGGAAGGAACUCGGCAAAUAGUAACCCCGCCU
rnacentral:rRNA from 1 species